rnacentral:rRNA from 1 species
UACGUGGGGUGCAAGCGUUGUCCGGAAUUAUUGGGCGUAAAGAGCUCGUAGGCGGCUUGUCACGUCGGGUGUGAAAGCCCGGGGCUUAACCCCGGGUCUGCAUUCGAUACGGGCUAGCUAGAGUGUGGUAGGGGAGAUCGGAAUUCCUGGUGUAGCGGUGAAAUGCGCAGAUAUCAGGAGGAACACCGGUGGCGAAGGCGGAUCUCUGGGCCAUAACUGACGCUGAGGAGCGAAAGCGUGGGGAGCGAACAGG